GUGUCAGCCGCCGCGGUAAGACGAACUGUCCUAACGUUGUUCGGAAUCACUGGGCUUAAAGGGCGCGUAGGCGGUCCGACAAGUCAGGGGUGAAAUCCUGCAGCUUAACUGCAGAAGUGCCUCUGAUACUGUCGGUCUGGAGGGAGAUAGGGGUGUGCGGAACUUCCAGUGGAGCGGUGAAAUGCGUUGAUAUUGGAAGGAACGCCGGAGGCGAAAGCGGCGCACUGGAUCUCUUCUGACGCUGAGGCGCGAAAGCUAGGGGAGCAAACGGGAUUAGAAACCCCUGUAGUCC
rnacentral:rRNA from 1 species